rnacentral:rRNA from 1 species
AUUGAACGCUGGCGGCAUGCCUUACACAUGCAAGUCGAACGGCAGCACGGGGGCAACCCUGGUGGCGAGUGGCGAACGGGUGAGUAAUACAUCGGAACGUGUCCUGGAGUGGGGGAUAGCCCGGCGAAAGCCGGAUUAAUACCGCAUACGCUCUGUGGAGGAAAGCGGGGGAUCUUCGGACCUCGCGCUCAAGGGGCGGCCGGUGGCAGAUUAGCUAGUUGGUGGGGUAAAGGCCUACCAAGGCGACGAUCUGUAGCUGGUCUGAGAGGACGACCAGCCACACUGGGACUGAGACACGGCCCAGACUCCUACGGGAGGCAGCAGUGGGGAAUUUUGGACAAUGGGGGCAACCCUGAUCCAGCAAUGCCGCGUGUGUGAAGAAGGCCUUCGGGUUGUAAAGCACUUUUGUCCGGAAAGAAAACCGCUUCUCUAAUACAGAGGUGGGAUGACGGUACCGGAAGAAUAAGCACCGGCUAACUACGUGCCAGCCGCCGCAGUAAAAC